rnacentral:lncRNA from 1 species
GAAAACAUCUUUUAAGGAACCCUAAUACAAAGAUCAUGUUCUGAUCCUAUGAAAAUAUCUUUUAAAGAACCCUAAUACAAAGAUCAUGUUCUAAUCCUAUGAAAACAUCUUUUAAAGAACCCUAAUACAAAGAUCAUGUUCUAAUCCUAAUACGAAGAGCCUUUCAUCAGAUUCCUAAUUAUUUAACAAUCGAUUUCGGAACUCAUAAAGAAAAAUCAAAGCUUUACGAACAACUUACCGUACAAGAGAAGAAACGUUGAGAUUUGAUGGCAGACGUAACUCCAGAAUCACCGGAAGACUCUGUUUAUGUUACCAUCUCUA